rnacentral:rRNA from 1 species
UACGAAGGGGGCUAGCGUUGUUCGGAAUUACUGGGCGUAAAGCGCAUGUAGGCGGAUAUUUAAGUCAGGGGUGAAAUCCCGCAGCUCAACUCCGGAACUGCCCUUGAAACUGGGAAGCUAGAAUCUUGGAGAGGCGAGUGGAAUUCCGAGUGUAGAGGUGAAAUUCGUAGAUAUUCGGAAGAACACCAGUGGCGAAGGCGACCACCUGGACUGAUACUGACACUGAGGAGCGAAAGCGUGGGGAGCAAACAGG